rnacentral:rRNA from 1 species
AGCGAACGCUGGCGGCAGGCCUAACACAUGCAAGUCGAACGAAGUCUUCGGACUUAGUGGCGGACGGGUGAGUAACACGUGGGAACGUGCCUUUAGGUUCGGAAUAACUCGGGGAAACUUGUGCUAAUACCGAAUGCGCCCUUCGGGGGAAAGAUUUAUCGCCUUUAGAGCGGCCCGCGUCUGAUUAGCUAGUUGGUGAGGUAAAGGCUCACCAAGGCGACGAUCAGUAGCUGGUCUGAGAGGAUGAUCAGCCACAUUGGGACUGAGACACGGCCCAAACUCCUACGGGAGGCAGCAGUGGGGAAUCUUGCGCAAUGGGCGAAAGCCUGACGCAGCCAUGCCGCGUGAAUGAUGAAGGUCUUAGGAUUGUAAAAUUCUUUCACCGGGGACGAUAAUGACGGUACCCGGAGAAGAAGCCCCGGCUAACUUCGUGCCAGCCGCCGCGGUAACAC